AUUAUUGAUGAACUGUUGGAUGAGUUAGCUGGGUCUAAAUGGUUUACUAAACUGGACCUCAGGUCUGGAUAUCACCAGAUCAGACUAGCACCUGGAGUGGAACAUAAAACAACAUUUCAAACUCAUUUUGGUCACUUUGAGUUCAUGGUACUGUCCUUUGGAUUAACUGGCGGCCCUAACACCUUCAAUUUUGCUAUGUCUGUUACCCUGUCUCCCUGCCUCAGAAAAUAUGCCAUCAAUUUCUUCGAUGAUAUUCUUAUAUUCAGUGCUUCCUAUGAAUUGCACUUGCAACACCUGGAAGAAGUGUUGAAACUGUUAUUGCAACACCAGUGGCAUGUGAAGCUCUCUAAAUGUUCAUUUGCUCAA
rnacentral:rRNA from 1 species